GGGGACUUGGGAGCGCGCGCUGCCCCUCACUUGGCUGCAACUGGACCCAGAACUAGGGAAGAGGCCAGGGACAGAUUUUUUUUUUUUAUUUUUAUUUUUUUUGCCGAGGGACGUUUCAAAAUUUUGCACGGCCAGGGUGACAAAAAGAGGAUUUAAGAGCCACAAGCGGUCCGCACAUGACCCAGACUUCGUUCCUGUGCGGCUUCCAGAGGUGUUCAUGCAGAAGACUGGAUGCAGGACCCUUGGUGGCACCAGUGUGCAGAUGAGCAGAUAGUGACUGAUUGCCACUGGGGUGAAAUUUUUAAAAAAGAACCUUGAAGUCUGUGAGUGACCAAUCAAAGAUGAAAAUUAAUAAUGGAAGACCUGGGAUAUACAAUCAAGUCUAAAGCCUAGAUAUCUGGUUAUUUUAGAAAAGCUUCAUAGGCAAGUGUCAGUGGAGCUGUGUUAUUUGAGCUGAGCUGCACCUUGAAGAACCAAAAAAAUUAUAAAUGGACAAAUAAGACCAAGUGCCUACACCAAAAGAAUUCUAAUGCUUAGAAGAGUUGCAGAAUAAAAUAUGUUGCAUGGGAUGUCAAUAGUAAAGGUCAAGAUAGAGGACAAAGAAACACAGAGGAAGGAGGUUAAUGGAAUGAGAGAAGAAAGUAUUUUUAGAGGAAGUUGAUAUUUCACCUGAGUUGUAAAAGGUCUUCUGUGAGUACACCGACAAUUUCAAACACUAUACUAGGAACUGAAUUUGGAUAAAUCAUAACCUGCCCCAGGGGCUCACUUCUAGGAGAGGGGACA
rnacentral:lncRNA from 10 species